rnacentral:lncRNA from 1 species
AUGGUCGGGCAAACGAGGAAUAAGCUCAGAGGUGCGGCUUCAGAGCCGUCGCACUCUCUCCGCUCCACGCAGUCUAGACGGCGGCGCCGGGCCACAGGAACUGGGGAGCGGGAGUUGGAGGAGGAGCCGAAGAAGGAGGUGAAAAGGCCGGAGCUGCCUUUGCGCACACGCAGGAGGAACCUGCCAGGGGGCGCCCGGAAUUAUUCGCCGCGGAGGAUCCGAAACCUGAAAACGCAGAACUGCGUGCCAGUGGAGAUGGUCACAAGGCCCGAUUUUCUGAACGGCCGCUUUCCGUUUCUCAGCUCUUUGCUGGAGCAGCUCUGGGACAAGGCUCAAGUAUUGCAAAGACGUCAGGUCUCGGGCAGGGGGGCCAUCGGCAUAGCUGCCUUUGUGGCAAUUUUGCACUGGGUACAUUUGGUAAGACUUUUUGAAAAUGAUCGUCAUUUUUCUCACCUCUCAGCCUUAGAACGGGAGAUGACUUUUCGCACUGAAAUGGUGAUUUUAGCCUUCUGCUAUCGCACACUUGUGGGAAUAAUGAAUUUAUUUGGGUUAGAAACUAAGACCUGCUGGAACGUGACCAGAAUAGAACCUCUAAAUGAAGUUCAAAGCUGUGAAGGAUUGGGAGACCCUGCUUGCUUUUAUGUUGGUGUGAUUUUUAUUUUAAAUGGAAUAAUGAUGGGAUUGUUCUUCAUGUAUGGUGCUUACCUGAGUGGGACUCAACUUGGAGGUAUAAUUACAGUCGUAUGCUACUUUUUCAACCAUGGAGAGGCUACUCGGGUGAUGUGGACACCACCUCUCCGGGAAAGUUUUUCAUAUCCAUUUCUUGUACUUCAGAUGUACAUCUUAACUGUGAUUCUCAGGACAACGAACAAUAGUAGAAGGCACUUUAUUGCACUCUGCCUUUCCAAUGUUGCUUUUAUGCUUCCCUGGCAAUUUGCUCAGUUUAUACUUUUUACACAGAUAGCCUCAUUAUUUCCUAUGUAUAUUGUGGGGUACAUUGAGCCAAACAAGUUUCAAAAGAUAAUUCAUGCGAACAUGAUUUCAGUUUUCCUUUGUUUUGUAUUCAUGUUUGGAAAUCCAAUGUAUUUAUCUUCUUACUAUUCUUCAUCUCUGGUAAUAACGUUGGUGAUAAUUCUAAAGAGAAAUAAAAUUCAAAGAUUUGGAGUAUCUGAACUCCACUUUUGGGUAAUUCAAGGUAGUGCUUGGUUUUUUGGAACAAUCACUUUGAAAUUUCUGACGUCUAAAAUUUUAGGUGUUUCAGACCAUAUUCGCCUGAGUGACCUUAUUGCCGCCAGAAUCUUAAGAUAUACAGAUUUUGAUACCUUAAUUUACACCUGUGCUCCUGAAUUUGACUUCAUGGAAAAAGCGACGCCAGUGCGAUACUUAAAGACAUUGUUGCUUCCAACUAUUGUGGUGAUUACUUAUUUUAUCUUUAAAAAGGCUAUUCGUGAUAUUCAGUGUGUCUUAUGUGCAAACACUUAUCUAAGAAAACAGCUCCUUGAACAUGGUGAGAUAAUUUUUCACACAUUGCAGUUGUUUGCAUUUACUCCCCUUGCCAUUUUAAUUAUGAGGCUGAAGCUCUUUUUGACACCUCACAUGUGUGUUAUGGCUUCCCUGAUAUGUUCUCGGCGGCUCUUUGGCUGGCUUUUUUUCAGAGUUCGUUUUAUGCCUCUUAUCCUCAGUCUUGUAUCAAUAAUGUCAAUACAAGGUUAUGCAAACCUCCAUAAUCAAUGGAGCAUAAUAGGAGAAUUUAAUAAUUUGCCCCAGGAAGAACUGAUACAGUGGAUCAAAUACAAUACCAGGCCAGAUGCUGUUUUUGCUGGUGCCAUGCCUACGAUGGCAAGUGUCAAGCUUUCCACUCUUCACCCCAUUGUGAAUCACCCACAUUAUGAGGAUGCUGACUUGAGAGCUCGGACAAAAAUAGUUUACUCCGCAUAUAGUCGAAAAUCUGCAAAAGAAGUGAGAGAUAAGUUGGUGGAGUUACAUGUAAAUUACUACAUUUUAGAAGAGGCAUGGUGUGUUGUGAGAACUAAGCCCGGUUGCAGUAUGCUUGAAAUUUGGGAUGUGGAAGACCCUUCUAACUCAGCUAACCCUCCCUUAUGUAGCAUCUUGCUAAAGGAUGCGAGGCCAUACUUCACCACAGUGUUUCAGAAUAGUAUGUACAGAGUGUUAAAAGUUAAUUGA